ACCGGAGAUAGAGUUCUGUACAGUUUAAUUUAAAAGACCAAACAGAACUGAACCAUGCCUGCCUCUAUAAUGAGGCUCCUUCUAAGGAUUCCCCCUAUAGCACGAGGAUGAUUCAUGCCUUUUGCUUAGAAGUUAUAAUUACUUCGUGUACUUGAAAGCCUCUACAUUAAAUUUUUGAGGUUAUGAGUACCCAAAUACCUUAUCCUGUUUGUAAUCUCCGGCAAAUUUAGCUUUAGCAGUGUUUCUCAGAAACUAGCUAUUAAAUGUAUUGCUGCUCAAGUGGCGGCUGCAAACUGCAGAGCUCUGGGGGCUCGGACUAGUCUCUCGUACCGCACAGAUCCACGCCUCGCACCUUUCCUAAGUUAAACAAAAAGAGACCCGAAAAUGGUCUUUUUGGACAAGCAAGGAAGAAAGAUCGGGGAAAAGAGGACCAACUUUCUCUUUCCAUUACUUCAGUGCUCCGAAUGUCAGGAAGCCGGGACAGGAUUGAAGUCUCAACCUCUCUCGUUUGGCCUAGACAACAAUCUCUUCUGCAUUAGAUACUCGCAGCCGAUUAUCCUUUCCAUCGCUGCAAUUCUCAUUCAGGGAUUUCACGGUACUAAAACUGAUUCAAAUCAUAUCUCAAGAUUUUUCUUGCACUCAUUCUUUAGAUCAACGGACCUCAAAAGCGUGUGAAAGAACACUGAUCACUGAUCCGUCGUCUUGGUCCCAUCUCUUGUUUUAUCUGAAGCUGAAUACUGUUGUCUCCGACCAAGUCUGAAUUGAAACAAAUGCUUUACUUCACCAUCACAAAAAAACAGAGAAUGCGAAACGGACGCUUUCCUUCAUUGAUAUAUAGACAAUUCGGCUCUUCCAAUUUAUGUAUUGUGCAUAUUCGAUGCAUGUAGAUAAAUUUGGGUUCUUAAUUUUGUCCCAUUUUCUGAAUUUUCUUCUAUCUUUUUUUAUUAGAAUAUAUUUUGGAAUCUCUAAAAUCUACUUGCCUUGUAUUGUUGAUACUGUAUCAUGACACCUCGAUUGUAUCUAUGUAUAUCUAUAAAUACAAUAUACCAUGAUCCAAUUGGAUCAUUGAGUCAAUUAUAUACAUGGUAUCAGAGCCCUAGGGUUACAACUUCUCCCCCACAAACUCUGACCUUCCAGCCUCUCUUCCACCCUUCUGCCGGUCAAAAAUGGCGUUUGCUUCUCAAGCCUUCGGCACUGACAAUAGUCAAAUAAACCCAACCCUUGAUACCUCUGCUGAUUUCCCUCCAAUAACUCUACUGGUGUUCCCACCAAUGCCCCCAUUGAGGCUCUGCCUUCUCCCUUACUCGCCCAAAAUACUCUUCCUGCUGCUGCCAUAUCCACCAGAACCAUAACAGCUCCCAACAUAUCGAACCUUGUCCACAUCCAGCUUAAGGACUCUAACUGCAUGGUUUGGAAGACAUUAUUUUCUACUUUUCUCAGGUCUCAUGAUCUUCUUGGGUUCAUGGAUGGAAGUCCUCCCUGUCCUCCUGUCACCGACCCUCUCUUUGCUUCCUGGAGCCGGACAGAUGACAACAUAAAGUCAUGGCUCUUCUCCACCCUCUCGGAGCAAAUUUUGGAAGAAGUUCAUGACCCACCCACGGCUUAGCAAAUUUGGGACGGAUUACACAGUCGGUUCGUUGAAUGCUCCCAUUCUCGUGCUCUCGAUAUCAAGGUGGAGUUGACUCGCAUCAAACUGGAGGAUUUCAAGAAGGGAUAAUUGCGCCAUAGAGCGUAACGUUUGAAGGAAUUCGUAGUUCUAAUCCAAACUUGAUUUUUUUACCUGAGAUAUCCCAACGUUGACGUGUUGAUUUCACAUCUAGCCCGACGCUAACUUUCCAUCCAAAAUUGACGGAAUUGCACACGCGGCAUGUUAAUUUUGUAACGUUGCUUACAUGUGUUACAAAAUUGACGUGCCACGUGUGCAAUUCCGUUAAUUUUGGACGGAAAGUUAGUGUCGGGCUAGAUGUGAAACCAACACGUCAAUGUUGGGAUAUCUUAAGUAAAAAAUCAAGUUUGGACUAAAACCAAGAAUUCCUUCAAACAUGAGGUUGUAUGGCGCAAUUAACCAUUUCAAGAAUGUGGAAUCGUAUCCUUACCGUUGUAGACAGCUGGCCGAUCAACUCAAAGAGAUUGGUCGGGCUAUUGAUGACGAAGACCUCAUUACCUAUGCUCUCGCUGGACUCACUCCUCAAUAUGAGUCUUUUAUUACUUCCCUGAAUAAUGAUCGGGAUCCCCUCUCCGUUGUUGCCCUUCGUAACAAGUUAAUAUUCCACGAGAAUCGUCUUCAUUGGACAUACCUGCAGCUCCUGCUCCUGCCACUACAACACUACAGGUCACCACUCAAUUAGGUGGCCGAGGAGGAGGAGGCCGCAGAACUCAAAUGGGCGGUGGUCGCGGCUUUGGUCGCUUGAACCGAGGGGGUGGUCGUGGAAGAGGUCACUACAACAACAAUGGAGCUGGUCAUGGGUACCAUCAGUAGCAAGGUGCCCCUGGUCACUCACCUGGACGUGGGAACGGAGCUCAUGGAUAUGGAAACAAUCGUGGCGGUCAUGGCAGGAUUGUGUCUGGUCAUGGGCAACCAUCCACCUCACAAUAUUCGGUAAGGUCCUUUAACAGCUUUUACUGCUAAUAGUUCUUUAUUGCCUAUAAGUAACACUGGUUCCUUAACCAUUCCUACCUCUUCCAGACCACUUCAUCUUAAUGGGGUUCUUCGUGUUCUGUCCCUUGAUUUUAAUUUGGUUUCUAUACAUCGGCUAUGUAACGAUAACAAUUGUCAUGUGAUAUUCACUAAUUCUGGUUUUAUGGUUAAGGACAAUCUUUCGAGGAAGACACUAUUCAGCUGCCCCUUUAGUGGGCAUCUCUAUCCAAUCAAGUUAUCUCGACCAAUGGCUCUCUUUAAAUCAUUAUAAAGAGCAAAUGAAGUGAAAUGAUAAUCCAAUUUCU